GAACCAGUACCGUGAGGGAAAGGUGAAAAGUACCCCGGAAGGGGAGUGAAAGAGAACUUGAAACCGUGUGCUUACAAGUAGUCAGAGCCCGUUAAUGGGUGAUGGCGUGCCUUUUGUAGAAUGAACCGGCGAGUUACGAUUUGAUGCAAGGUUAAGCAGCUAAUGUGGAGCCGUAGCGAAAGCGAGUCUGAACUGGGCGCUUAAGUUGCAGGGUAUAGACCCGAAUCCCGGUGAUCUAGCCAUGGGCAGGUUGAAGGUUGAGUA
rnacentral:rRNA from 1 species